GAAUAAAAAUCGACGAUUUUUUCGUCGGAAUUGGGUCUUUCUUUUUUGACCUUCGGGUUUUUUAAAGUGACCUAAAAUUGUGUUGAAUUUUUCGAUGAACUCAUCUGAAUAAUUUAUUUUGUGGGUUUGUCUUAAAACGUGCAUUGGACGUGAUCAUAUUUUCGUGGUUACCGCGUUCAUGAUUUUCUUCAUA
rnacentral:misc_RNA from 1 species